AUUGAACGCUGGCGGCCGGCUUAACACAUGCAAGUCGAGCGGAGAUGAGGUGCUUGCACCUUAUCUUAGCGGUGGACGGGUGAGUAAUGCUUAGGAAUCUGCCUAUUAGUGGGGGACAACAUUCCGAAAGGAAUGCUAAUACCGCAUACGUCCUACGGGAGAAAGCAGGGGAUCUUCGGACCUUGCGCUAAUAGAUGAGCCUAAGUCGGAUUAGCUAGUUGGUGGGGUAAAGGCCUACCAAGGCGACGAUCUGUAGCGGGUCUGAGGGGAUGAUCCGCCACACUGGGACUGAGACACGGCCCAGACUCCUACGGGAGGCAGCAGUGGGGAAUAUUGGACAAUGGGGGGAACCCUGAUCCAGCCAUGCCGCGUGUGUGAAGAAGGCCUUACGGUUGUAAAGCACUUUAAGCGAGGAGGAGGCUACUGAGACUAAUACUCUUGGAUAGUGGACGUUACUCGCAGAAUAAGCACCGGCUAACUCUGUGCCAGCCGCCGCAGUAA
rnacentral:rRNA from 1 species